UACGUAGGACCCAAGCGUUAUCCGGAGUGACUGGGCGUAAAGAGUUGCGUAGGCGGUUAUGUAAGCGAAUAGUGAAAUCUGGUGGCUCAACCAUUCAGGCUAUUGUUCGAACUGCAUAACUCGAGAAUGGUAGAGGUAGUUGGAAUUUCUAGUGUAGGAGUGAAAUCCGUAGAUAUUAGAAGGAACACCAAUGGCGUAGGCAGACUACUGGACCAUUUCUGACGCUAAGGCACGAAAGCGUGGGGAGCGAACCGG
rnacentral:rRNA from 1 species